GUAUCAGAAUCCAAGUCUAAGAGGAGGCGAGAAUGAGGCCACGGAGAGGCCUGAGAAGGACAGUCCCUCUCCCUCAGCCUCCCAAGGUGGACCCUGUUCUGAAAUCCCCACUCGGG
rfam:Sus scrofa chromosome 8.